GACGAACGCUGGCGGCGUGCCUAAAACAUGCAAGUCGAACGGGGGAGCAAUCCCCAGUGGCGAACGGCGGAGUAAUACAUGAACAACGUGCCCUGAAGACCGGGAUAGUCAGUGGAAACGCUGGGUAAUACCGGAUGUGGCCGUCUUGUGGCAUCACGAGACGAUUAAAUGGUUUUUCGCUUCAGGAGCGGUACAUGGCCUAUCAGGUAGUUGGUGAGGUAACGGCUCACCAAGCCGACGACGGGUAGCGGGUCUGAGAGGACGAUCCGCUCGAGUGGGACUGAGACACGGCCCACACACCUACGGGUGGCAGCAGUUGGGAAUCUUGCACAAUGGGGGAAACCCUGAUGCAGCGACGCCGCGUGGAGGACGAAGGAUCUAGGUCUGUAAACUCCUUUUUCACGGAAAGACUUAGGACGGUACCGUGAGAAUAAGCUCC
rnacentral:rRNA from 1 species